CGUUUAGGGGUAAACCUGAGAAACCCGAAAGGUCGAAGGGAGAAAUUCAUUCGCGUUUCGUCGUCGGAGGGAAGCGGUCGCGCGACGAGAUCGACUCUCGGGCCGAUUUCGCGCCAUCCGUUUUUCGAACCGGCAGCGAACGCGUGCACUUUUCUUCUGGUAGGACGUCGCGAUCCGUUGGGUGUCGGUCUACGGUACGCGGUGGAGCCCGCUCGUCGUCGUCUCUCGUACGUACGAACGGACCCGCGUGACACUCCCGACCGACUCGCUCGACGGUACACGAACGGUCAGAGGCCGCUCUCAGUUGGGGAGCGUCCGGCUCGCGGCAAGCGCGCCCGUCCCGUCGGUAAUCGGACCUAGUGCCGUUUCCGACGCCGGGCGACUGUUGGCCGCGAAGUUCUCGGACAGACCUUACGUAUUUCUAAAAUACCGACCAAUCUGCGACGCUAUAGCUUUGGGUACUUUCAGGACCCGUCUUGAAACACGGACCAAGGAGUCUAGCAUGUACGCGAGUCAUUGGGAUUUUAACUAAACCUAAAGGCGCAAUGAAAGUGAAAGAUCUUCCUCGUCGAGGAUCGAGGGAAGACGAGCGGUUUCACCGUUAAAAGUGGCCGUUCCGCAUUCCCGGGGCGUCUCGUUCUCUCAUUGCGAGAAGAGGCGCACCAAGAGCGUACACGCUGGGACCCGAAAANAUGGUGAACUAU
rnacentral:rRNA from 1 species